rnacentral:rRNA from 1 species
GACAGAGGUGCCGAGCGUUAGGCGGAAUCACUGGGCUUAAAGCGUGUGUAGGCGGGUCGUUAAGUGCCUUGUGAAAUCCCAACCGCUCACCGGUGGAACUGCUUGGCAUACUGGCGAUCUUGAGCCACUUAGGGGCAACCGGAACAAACGGUGGAGCGGUGAAAUGCGUAGAUAUCUGGAGGAACACCGGUGGCGAAAGCGAUUCCUGGUCCGUUCCUGACGCUGAGGCUCGAAAGCUCGGGGAGCAACAGG